rnacentral:misc_RNA from 1 species
UGUGCCGGCCGACACUGC